AGGAAUGCAAGUGACAAAAUAGCAUUCACCAUGAGUGUUUUCCUUGGGAGUCAGACUUAACAAUUUCAAGGAGAACACUAGUGAAGGAGAACACUGAAGUGAAAAGGAGGGGAUCCAAAGAGCACCAGAAAUUAUCUUUUGGAAUGAUCACAUGAGGAAGAAGAUGCUGAAGGGAGUCUUCUCAAUAAGCAGCUUGUAUCCUGCUGCUGACGAUCAAUAAACUGCUUCAUAAAACUUUCCCUUACAGAUAAGAAAAAGAUAUCACAUUUUG